UACGUAGGUGGCAAGCGUUGUCCGGAUUUAUUGGGUUUAAAGGGUGCGUAGGCGGUCCAUUAAGUCAGCAGUGAAAUACGGCAGCUCAACUGUCGAGGUGCUGUUGAUACUGGUGGACUUGAGUACUGAUGAGGUAGGCGGAAUGGACGGUGUAGCGGUGAAAUGCUUAGAGAUCGUCCAGAACACCGAUAGCGAAGGCAGCUUACUAAAGAGUAACUGACGCUGAGGCACGAAAGUGUGGGGAUCAAAC
rnacentral:rRNA from 1 species